UACGGACGGUGCAAGAGUCACUCGAAAUUAGUGAUCUGAAAUUACAAGUAAUUCCCUAUGCAUGACAGCUAUGAGAUCACCCCACUCCAACUGGGAACUGCAUUUGUAGACUGCAUGCUCUACAUCAUGGGAUAGCAAGCCUUAUUUCCCGGCGUAGCGGCGAAAUGCUAACAUUGGGGAAGAACAUCAGAGGAAUGACGUCUUCUGGCCCUUCAUCUGACGUUCACAGUCGCGAAAGCUCCGUUAGAGCAGAACCGGAUUAAAGACCCUGACAGUCCACGCCCUAUGCGAUCACUACUAGAUGUCGGCAGGCUCUGCCUCUCGCUGUCUGACCUAACGCGUGAAGUUGCCCUCCUGCGGAUCACCCUCACAAGGUUGACCCUCUGAUUAAUUGACGGUCACCCGAUCAAGCGCCGAAGUAUGUGUCUUAAUUCUAUGCAAAACUAAAAACCUUACCUGACCUUGAGAUCUGUGCAACUUGAAAUACAUGCAUUGUUGCCUUCGGGAACCACAAGCCAGGCUGCUGCAUGGCUGUCGUCAGCUCGGGUCGAGAGAAGAUGGGUUAACUCCCACAACGAGCGCAAACAUCGUCGUUAGUCAGCAUCUCUUCUGGUGGGAACUCUAAGGAGACCGCCGGUGCCAAGUCGGAGGAAGGUCGGGAGGACGUCAAGUCCUCAUGGUGCUCUAUGGCCAGGGUUACACUCGCGCUUCAACGGACGAAACAGAGGGUCGCCAUCCCGCGAGCGGGACACACUGCCUCAAAGCCGAUUGUACUCCGGAUCGGAGUGUGCACCUCUACUCCGUGCAGUCGGAAUCGCUCGUAAUCGCGGAUCAGCAAUUCCGCGCAGAAUACGCUACCCGGGUGCU
rnacentral:rRNA from 1 species